CACGUAGGGUGCGAGCGUUGUCCGGAAUUAUUGGGCGUAAAGAGCUCGUAGGCGGUGUGUCGCGUCGGCCGUGAAAACCUGCAGCUUAACUGUGGGCUUGCGGUCGAUACGGGCAUCACUGGAGUUCGGCAGGGGAGACUGGAAUUCCUGGUGUAGCGGUGAAAUGCGCAGAUAUCAGGAGGAACACCGGUGGCGAAGGCGGGGUCUCUGGGCCGAUACUGA
rnacentral:rRNA from 1 species